CUGGUAGUCCAUACCGUAAACGAUGAAUGCUAAGUGUUGGAGGGUUUCCGCCCUUCAGUGCUGCAGCUAACGCAUUAAGCAUUCCGCCUGGGGAGUACGGCCGCAAGGCUGAAACUCAAAGGAAUUGACGGGGGCCCGCACAAGCGGUGGAGCAUGUGGUUUAAUUCGAAGCUACGCGAAGAACCUUACCAGGUCUUGACAUACUAUGCAAAUCUAAGAGAUUAGACGUUCCCUUCGGGGACAUGGAUACAGGUGGUGCAUGGUUGUCGUCAGCUCGUGUCGUGAGAUGUUGGGUUAAGUCCCGCAACGAGCGCAACCCUUAUUAUCAGUUGCCAGCAUUAAGUUGGGCACUCUGGUGAGACUGCCGGUGACAAACCGGAGGAAGGUGGGGAUGACGUCAAAUCAUCAUGCCCCUUAUGACCUGGGCUACACACGUGCUACAAUGGAUGGUACAACGAGUUGCGAACUCGCGAGAGUAAGCUAAUCUCUUAAAGCCAUUCUCAGUUCGGAUUGUAGGCUGCAACUCGCCUACAUGAAGUCGGAAUCGCUAGUAAUCGCGGAUCAGCAUGCCGCGGUGAAUACGAUCCCGGCCUUAGAGUUCGCCCCUGGCUCAGAAGUCGUAACAAGGUACCCUUAGAGUUUGAUCCUGGCUCAGAA
rnacentral:rRNA from 1 species